UACGUAGGGUGCGAGCGUUGUCCGGAAUUAUUGGGCGUAAAGAGCUCGUAGGCGGUCUGUCGCGUCGAUCGUGAAAACUUGGGGCUUAACCCUGAGCUUGCGGUCGAUACGGGCAUGACUGGAGUUCGGCAGGGGAGACUGGAAUUCCUGGUGUAGCGGUGAAAUGCGCAGAUAUCAGGAGGAACACCGGUGGCGAAGGCGGGUCUCUGGGCCGUAACUGGACGCUGAGGAGCGAAAGCAUGGGGAGCGAACAGG
rnacentral:rRNA from 1 species